UACGGAGGGGGCUAUCGUUGUUCGGAAUUACUGGGCGUAAAGCGCACGUAGGCGGAUUGUUAAGGCGGGGGUGAAAUCCCGGGGCUCAACCCCGGAAAGGCCUCCGAUACUGGCAAUCUUGAGGUCGGGAGAGGUGAGUGGAAUGGCGAGUGUAGAGGUGAAAUUCGUAGAUAUUCGCCGGAACACCAGUGGCGAAGGCGGCUCACUGGCCCGAUACUGACGCUGAGGUGCGACAGCGUGGGGAGAAAACAGG
rnacentral:rRNA from 1 species